UAUAAAAUGAUGAUAAAUGUCAACUGAUUGUGAUAUUUUUCUCUAUUCUUGAGAAAUUCUUCACAUUUUAUGUUUGAUGUGAAAUGAGGCAUUUGUCUGAUUAUACU